rnacentral:rRNA from 1 species
GCCUGCCCAGUGACUUUGUUUAACGGCCGCGGUAUUCUGACCGUGCGAAGGUAGCGUAAUCACUUGUUCUCUAAAUAAGGACUAGUAUGAACGGCACCACGAGGGCCACACUGUCUCCCUCCCCCCAUCAGUGAAACUGAUCCCCCCGUGAAGAAGCGAGGAUCUAAAUAUAAGACGAGAAGACCCCUUGGAGCUUCAAACAACAUGGCACCUGCUUAACAAACACACUCCACGGAACUACCACGCUAAACAAGCACGCAUGACCACUAGUUUUUGGUUGGGGCGACCCCGGAGAAUAACAAAACCUCCGAAGAUGUAUGGGGCACCCGCCCUAAGCCAAAAGCCACUGCUUUAAGCAUCAACCUCUUGACACCCCUUGACCCAAUUUAAUUGAUCAACGACCAAGUUACCCGGGGAUAACAGCGCAAUCCAUUUUCAGAGCCCCUAUCGACAAAUGGGUUUACGAMCUCGAUGUUGGAUCAGGGUACCCCAGUGGUGAAGCCGCUACUAAAGGUUCGUUUGUUCAACGAUUAAAACCCUACGUGAUCU